GAAGAGGUUCUUGCUGUAUUCUACGUAGCGUAAAUACCGUGACCCUGGGAGUAGGGUAAGUUCCUCUUUUACGUUAUCAGUCAGUAUAUAUGCUUUACAAACAAUAAAUUAUGAAACACUACCAUAAGCAUGUUAUCUGGAAGCGAGGGAAAAACAGAAGGACUCGAAAGUUCUAGCUUCUGUGGCUGAGAAUGGGGAUCAGAAGGAGAAGGCGGUUACUUUUUCGCUAAAGAACUUUUGGGGCGCCUGGGUGGCGCAGUCGGUUAGGCGUCCGACUUCAGCCAGGUCACGAUCUCGCGGUCCGGGAGUUCGAGCCCCGCGUCAGGCUCUGGGCUGAUGGCUCAGAGCCUGGAGCCUGUUUCCGAUUCUGUGUCUCCGUCUCUCUCUGCCCCUCCCCCGUUCAUGCUCUGUCUCUCUCUGUCCCAAAAAUAAAUAAACGUUGAAAAAAAAAAUUAAAAAAAAAAAAAACUUUUGACCUCUCAUUUUUUUUUUUUUUUUUACAUAGGCAUCUACUAAUGUGAUUAAAAUCUGCAUGAAAAAAAAUUCAAAGAUCCUUCUGGUAAAUGAAAAAAAAGUUGAAGAAUUACAUUUUCUCCUGGGAAAUUGUGAAUCUCCUCAAGAUGACAGAUUGAUGUGCUUCCGACCAAACGGUGGAAUGGAGUUAAAGUACUGUACUGCCAGUCAUCAGCUCAGGCCGCCGGGACCGAAAAACCCACAGACUGAGAGACAUAAGCAACAGCAAUGUAUUUCUUACGGUUCUGGAGGCUGAGCGAUCGAGAGCAAGGAGCCCUCAAGGUAAGUCGCAGCCUGAGGCUUCUUCUCUUAGCCUGUCGGUAACCACCAUUUCACAGUGUGGUCCUGUGAUGUCUUCUUUGUGCAUACGCAGAGAGAAAGGGAGAAAGACAGAGAGAGGGAGGGAAGGGCAGAGGAAGGGAGCAGAAGACAGUGUGCUCUCUGUGUUCUGUUCUAAAAAUGACACUAAUUCUAAUCUUCCAAGAUCGGGGUUCCAGCCUUAGGACCUCAGGGGACCUUAGUUACUUCCUCAGAGGCCCCAUCUCCAAAGACGGCCCCAGCACAAGGGCUAGGGUUUUAACGUACACGUUGUAGGGGGUCACAGACAUCAAUCCCAUCGCAUGGAGAAUCAGAAAAUAACGGCGUGAGUGCACGAGAUUUGAAUUGCCAAGUGAUUUCCCCCAAGAGGAGUAAAGAAACUACCCCAGGAAGAGCAAUACGUUGGAAAUAAUGCGGAGCACGGCUUUCUCAAACUUCAGCAUGAAUCAGAAUCACCUGGAGGGCCUGCUUAGCUAGAAAGUUUAGCUGUGAAAUUGGUUUUCAAAUUACCUGUGAACAGGGCAAAAAGGAAAGCAUG
rnacentral:lncRNA from 1 species